rnacentral:misc_RNA from 1 species
UUAUGAUUGCGCAGAAGAGUAGUAUUGGUGUAAUAAUAAUAAUGUACAUGAAGUUUCAGAUUUUGAUUGGUUUAGUAUUCACUUAAUUAAUACUAAUAAUUGGAAGAGUUGGUUGUGCAAAAGGAGUUCUCUUCACAAACCUCCCUUUCAUUCUCGGCCUCUUCUCUGCAUUCAAUUUCCUGACUUCAUACCUUAUUUUCUUCGAAAACAACCUCGUCCGCCGCUUCUCCCUGUACCGUGAGACACGUGCCUCCCUCCCGCUGUCCUCCAUCGCCGCCGUGCUCACCCCAUAUUCCCCACACGUGUGCCCGUAGCUCACUCCACAAACCGCCAUAGAAUUAGGCCAAUUAGGUUGGUGAGGGUCAAAAUCAGGGCGUUCUCCGUUAGUCCAUGGAGACUUAAGAUUACCCCAAGCGGCAAUGACUGCCUCACAAUCCAAUCGCAAACUCAAUACUUUUCUAUUCUUCUUGUUGCUUUGGGAUUCAUCCUGUUCUUCUCUUUCAUUCUUCACUUCCACUACCACAGCUGGCAUCUUCAUCUCUUGAUCAUCCUCAUACUCCUCAAAAUUCAACUGAAACGCCUCUCCCAUCAUCAUCAAAUCCACAUCACCCUUAAAUUGCUGCCCAACUCUACAAUAAUCCUCCUCCACCUUAACCAAUCCCAACCCUUCCAUAUCAAAGCACUCACUCUCCAAAUUCCUCCCCAACAAACUCUCCACAUCCGCAGCAAAAUCCGAAAGAUCCACAUCUAACUCAUUCCCCUGCUCCAAAUUCGGUACUCUAUAUAACGACACCUGAUCUUCUUCUUCCUGGGAGCGGGAGGUGGCGUCGUCCGACUCCGGCACCACAGAGAGGAGGUCCUCUGAUUUGGGGCGGGGCCGAGGAGUGCGGGGCUUACGGGUGAACCCGGAAACCCAAGACGGAGAAUAAUUAGGGGUUUUGGAAUUAUUGGUGGCGGAGUUGAGGCGGAGGCGUUGGUGGCGACGGGCGAGGGGGUUGGCGGAAUGGACGGCGGAGUCGCAGGAUUGGCAGAGGAAAGCAUCGUCUGCGGCGCAGUACCAGCGGGCUCGCUUACGGACGCAGCUGUCGCAGGCUCUUGCGGUCUUUCCG